GCCGCCGCCUCACCGCCCCUCAGCGCGGGCCGGGGGCGCCGCCGCCCGCUCCGGCCCCGCCGAAAGUUUCCCCCGGGCCGCCUCCUGCCCCGGGACACCGAGGGGACAGCGGGGGGACACGGGGUGCAGGGGAGCUGGGGACGGGGGACGGGCUGCGGGAUGGGCUGGGGGUCAAAUGGGUCAUCAAGAUUCUCAUCCCGUGUUUACGUACAGGAGUUUAAUGUCACUGGGAGUGUAAACCAAAGGUGCCUGCUGGGGAAAGUUGUACGUUCAUCAGGGCAGAGUAAUCCAGAGACGUUUCCUUCAUCCAGUGGAGGUGGAAGGGUUGCUACUCGACUUUUUCUGCCCAGAGCCAUCUGAGUGGGGUGAAGAAAAUUCAAUGCAAAUGAGAAUCAUGCCCCCAAUCUGUGCUGUUCCUCUCACCCCAAACACGCUCCACAAUCUGUUGCAAAUGCUGCAAGCUGAGUCUGCGAGGCUUUGCUUUGUUAAAGACUGUCAUGUCCAAGGUGGAAGGACAGCCAAAAGGUCACAAUAAAUAAACUAAAUACAAAAUUGCUUAAGGCAAUAAAAGGAGACCACAGACUUUCAGUACAGCUCUGACAUGCACCAGGAGACACUUCAGGAUGUUAAACAAGCUGGGGGUUUGUGUCAAUGGGCUUAGAUGUUUUCAUUUGUUUCUUUCCCUGCUAUCCCAAUACUUUGCCAAAACAAUCAGGCCUUAACUGCUUGGUAUCCUUUUCACAAAUAUGGGCUGCCUUUAUCACUUGUUUCAUCAUGGUCAUUUGCACUGAAAAUACAUAAUCACUGUCGGAGUACAAAGAAUCAUUACGAAUAAUUAGUUACUUCCAAUAUGGCAAGUCAGUCUCAUAAAUCUUGAAUAUUUGGCUUUGGUUUUGGAAAGAGAUUCCUUAACGGCUACACUUGUGAGACUCUGUUAAUUGAUAUAAAAUUGUAUUCAAAAUUAAAUUUGUUUUAACAGAUCUAAAUCACCCCAAUAAAUCAGCUUCAGCCUAUCUGCUCUAAGGGUUCAAGUACACUUUUUUUUUUGCCUUUGGGAGAAACUAUGAGCUUGCAAUCAAUGCUUAGAGAGCUGGAUCUGACCCUCCCCUCAUUGACUAAUUGCUUCCACAUGCUGACAUGGG